GUCAGGAACAGUUAGUAAUGAUGUUACCAGUCUUUUGAAAGUCAGAUGGUAAUGUGAACCCUCGGAUCGGCUUAGGAUGGAUGUGGAUUGUGUUAAGCCGAUUCGUCUCCUGAAUGCAACUGCCGGUGAGGACGGCGUGCGUCUGAAUGUGCGUCCCAGCAAGACCUCACUCCGGGGGACGGACAGUGCAGACAAUUUCGGUAGACAUAUUCUCCAAGGGAUCUUUGUGCAAAGUGAUCUUUCUGCUGGUAUAAUCAAUCUGUAUCCUGACUUGUU